GUGGUGAUGAAACUCUUGGAGCUUGGUUUGGGUGAUAGUACAUGAAGAUAGGUAGAUGGGUUGUCUUGCAAAUUUAUUUUAAGGGCUCUCAUUAUCGAGAUAAAUUAGUGGGCAAGACAAGGACUAAAUCGGUUGAGGCUGAAUUAGAUGAGAGUGAUAGAGCUUUAUUUAUUUAUCGUAAAGUUGAAAGAUUUUGGGUCUAUUUUUAUAAGAGAAGUUUGUUUUAAACUCAUGUUUCGGCUUCUUUUUAUUUUAUUUUACUUUCUCACGCAUCGGGCGUGAGGUUUCCACCGACCCCCGGGUUCGAGGCGUGACAAGAUCUAGCUAGAGCUAGUUCAUUCCAGGCCUCUCUCUCUCUCUCUCUCUCUCUCUCUCUCUCUCUCUCUCUCUCUCUCUCUCUCCCCCCUAGUUUCCCCAUCAACGCCGCCACCAAUUUUCUCGGCGAAACCCAACCAACCAACCUACACCGAUUUCUCAGUGAUUUGAAGGCGUUGGUUUAAUGCGUCGUUGGCUCGGCUUCAGUUUUGAUUUGUGUGAGACUUAUUGUCUUAGUUUACUCCUAGGGUGAACAGUUCAAGAUUACAUAUUCACUACAUCAUCUUGUAAACCCGAUAAGUCUUCACUUAGGUAGGUUCAAGUCCAAAAGACACCUCUCCCGAUGCAAUUCUCACAUGAUUUUCUCUCUCAUGUCUUUACACUUAUUUUCUAUUCAAAUUCAAAUUUGGGGUAUUAUUGGAGUUUGAAUAGAAAACUAGUGCUUGUCUUAGUCCCCCGUUGGUUGAGCACAAGAACUAAACACACUUUAUAAGCUUUAGUCCAUUUCUAUUAUUAAAAUGGAUUGGACUUGGGUUGGCUGCAAUUAAGCUCAUAGCUUGGGCCUUAAGCAUUGACUUUUGGCCCAAAUUGAAUAAAAGCAUUUUUCUGUAGUCUUGGUCUCAAGCCAAAAUGGGCAGAACCUCGAGCCCUCAGAUUUCUGCAGAUUUUGUCUCAUGACAAAACUGGCAGAAAUUUGAGCCCUUAUAUUUCUGCAGAUUUGGUCACAUGACAAAAUUGGCAGAAAUUUGGGUCAAGCAUUGACUUUUGGCCCAAAUUGAAUAAAGGCAUUUUUCUGUAGUUUUGGUCUCAAGCCAAAAUGGGUAGAACCUCGAGCCCUCACAUUUCUACAGAUUUGGUCACAUGACAAAAUUGGCAGAAAUUUGAGUCAAUGUGGGCUUUUGGGCUUUGAUGAUUACAUUCAGAAAUCAUAUUAAACCUAUCCUUUUACAGUGAAAGGUUAUCUACAGGUCAUAGCCAACCAUAUUACAAAAGUAGGACUGAAUCAUCACGCACGAAAUCACUCACUAAUUGAGAGAGAGAACAAAUACAGUUCAACAGAGUUUAAAAUUCAAGGGCCUGAAUUUCAAAUUGUUGAUAGUUGUAUCUUGGGGACAGACACCUGUAGAACUACAAGGCACGAGUGUAGGGCCGAAAUUCUGUCUGUGUACAUUGCAUUACAAGCCUCUAUCAGUUUGUGGAUAUUGCAUUUGCAAGCCUCUAUCAGUUAGUUUACUUCCCUUGCCCCAUGUACCCGUUUGAUUUUACAACUUUAAAGAAAUAUGUUAUAUUUGUAGUUUGUUAUGAAUUUUGAUUUGUAAUCACAAGAGGCGAGACUUGUUGAGAGUAAUCUUCUUGGCAAACCUCAAUGAGGUAGGGUUUUAGAUGGUUCAAAAGCAUCUAUAAGCCUAUGAUAGUUGUGCAUUGUUUGCCAACUCUUUGGAAGGGCUAAAAGCAGUGCAGUGGUGCCUCUAAAAUAUACAUCCAACACAAAGGCCCAAACAAAGGCCCGGUGCUGUGGUUCAAUUUCUUCAAAUUUGUUGGCCAGCGACUUCAAGAUUCCAUUUCAAUUCUGCUUUCAAUUCGUUGAAGCAACGUUGUUGUUGGUAUGAAAUAUAUAGUUGAUCUGCAGCAAGCAAGCAGAAAGCAGCAUACACAUGUGAUGCUGGGUUUGGCUUUGCCUUAUAUAAAAUCCAAUAAAUAGUAGCUUUAAUGAGAUGGAUCAUGUGAUUUCACCA